rnacentral:rRNA from 1 species
AACGCGAAGAACCUUACCUACACUUGACAUGCCAAGAAGAUUUCAGAGAUGAGAUUGUGCCUUCGGGAACUUGGACACAGGUGCUGCAUGGCUGUCGUCAGCUCGUGUCGUGAGAUGUUGGGUUAAGUCCCGUAACGAGCGCAACCCUUAUCCUUAUUUGCCAGCGCGUAAAGGCGGGAACUUUAAGGAGACUGCCGGUGAUAAACCGGAGGAAGGUGGGGAUGACGUCAAGUCAUCAUGGCCUUUAUGUGUAGGGCUACACACGUGCUACAAUGGGCGGUACAGAGGGUAACGAAGUCGCGAGACGGAGUCAAUCUCAGAAAACCGUCCUUAGUCCGGAUUGGAGUCUGCAACUCGACUCCAUGAAGCUGGAAUCGCUAGUAAUCGCGGAUCAGAAUGCCGCGGUGAAUACGUUCCCGGGCCUUGUACACACCGUAGAGAC